rnacentral:lncRNA from 1 species
GGUUGUUAGCCACUCACCGGUGGUCAUGGACUUGCCAUGAGAGAUCAUAAAGAGGCUAGGCAAUCCAACCAAGUAUCCUACAUCAUGGGCCAAUGGCGCCGAUGGCCGGAAAAAAAAAAAAAGAUGGUCGUAAAAAUAAAGGAUGCAGAUUUUGAUUGAUUUUCAAUGAAAUCAGCAGCAUUGCUUAAGGCUAUAGGGAA